GGCCCUGCGUUACACAGACUUUCGACGAGAAGGAACUUCGGACAGGACGUGUUGUUAGAGCUCCGAAUAUUUAGCAAACAUUUGUUAUAGUUUCUGGAUUUUGUGGUACAAACAGUACAGCAUUUUAGUAAAGGCUAUCUUUGUUUUUUCUCACUUUUAAACUCCGAAGAAGACACUUUAAACUCGCUCCACAGAGACGUCACUCAGCCGCAGUCGACGUUUUUUUCCCUCUACAAUUCGUUUUUGGACUGACAUGUGUCAAGAAGUAAUGGAUACCAAAUCGAAGCACAUUAAAACCGACAGCCUGCGUAAAACCAUGAAACCUGGGUCCAGAUUGAAGUGGAAACUGCCUCGUGUCUCCACGGAGGGGGAUGCGGCCUUCAAGAAGUGUUUAACCGGCUCUGUGAGGACCUUCCGAAAAUGCCUCCGGCGGGAACAAAGACGGGCCCAGCUGGCUAAACUCGCCAAAGCCCUGGGGAAAAUCGGGAAGACAGCGAAGAAGGCAUCCGUGUGUAAGGAAGUCCCCAGCGCGGCCUGUAUGCUACCUCAACCAUCGGGGGCAAUGGCGCCGCCUAACACCACGCAGUACCUUAUGGGUAAUGUCUACGACGACUUAAAGGCGAACUACACCCAGACAGUUUCUCAUGUAACAUCUCCACAUCAUGAUAGUGAAUAUGUAUCACCCAGUAUAUGUGAUGCAUCAGACUCUGAUUACGAUAGCUGUCUUGCCUUUCAACAGAGGGACUUUGAGGAAGUGUUUGACCUGUACUGGUAACCGGAUUGAACUGGUCUACGCGGCCUUGUGAAACUGGUCUGUCCGCCUCUCCAACCGAGACUUACCGAUAAGGGCAAAUAAAAGCGGCGCACUGGAUGGUGCCCGCCCAGUAGAACGAGUCCUGAGCACUGUGGCGCCGCCCAGAGGAACGAAACAAACGCACAUCGGCUCUCGCCUGGCCACGGAUUGUGAAAUCCAGGUAAACCCGGGCAGGUAUUGUGUUACCCUGCAUUGUCUUGAUGGCAACAGUAGUACAUUGUGUUGCGAUGUUGGGCCUUUCCACAGUUACUGUUGUCUGAGCGUUUUCCAGGUCGAAUUCCUGCCGGGACACGUGACUCUGCUGCGAGAGGAGCAGGAGACCAAGGAGCUCUUCCGUCACGUGACUGACAUAAGGUGACAUUUAAUGCCCAUAGGUCAUUUUGACUGUUUUCAAGAAGGUUAAAGUCCAAAUGAUGCGAGUGAUAGAUGUAAAGUUGUGUUUAAAAUGAAAAUAUAUAUGAAGUGAUUUAUCCUGUGUUUUUAAAGGGUAGUAAUGUUCAAUAAAAUGUGCUUCCUAAUGAUA